rnacentral:lncRNA from 1 species
GCCCUGAAAGAUGCUACCCAAAAGGAUAUAAGGAAGCCAAAAAAAACAAGCUCAGCCCAGCCCACAGAAUUCAAAAACACAUUUGAAUCUUUGGCUCAAAAGGUAAAGAAGGGGUUUUUACCUCCAAGAAUCUCCAGCUCAUGACCCUCCACCAGAACAGAUCCAUACAUCAGUGCGCCAACCCUAUUAUCAAUAUAGAGAUCCUCCUUCGGUUCCUCAGAAGCUUCCUCCAUUUGUUCAUUGUCAGCACUUGAUGCCAAGGCAGAUGCCUCCUCUCGAGCUUCGUCAAGCAAAUUCCCUGGGGCUUCUGGAGGGCUAACCAGCUGUGUUGUACCAUCCGAGUAC